rnacentral:rRNA from 1 species
AGAGUUUGAUCCUGGCUCAGAAUGAACGCUGGCGGCGUGCUUAACACAUGCAAGUCGCACGAGAACGCUUUAGCUUGCUAAAGCAAGUAAAGUGGCGCACGGGUGAGUAACGCGUGGGUAAUCUACCCCUGAAUUUGGGAUAACGUUGCGAAAGCGACGCUAAUACCGGAUAAUAUCUUUUUAAUUUUGGUUAUAAAGAUCAAAGGUGGCCUCUACAUGUAAGCUACUGUUUAGGGAUGAGCCCGCGUACCAUUAGCUAGUUGGUAGGGUAACGGCCUACCAAGGCAGCGAUGGUUAGCUGGUCUGAGAGGAUGAUCAGCCACACUGGAACUGACACACGGUCCAGACUCCUACGGGAGGCAGCAGUGAGGAAUUUUGCGCAAUGGGGGAAACCCUGACGCAGCAACGCCGCGUGAGUGAUGAAGGCCUUCGGGUCGUAAAACUCUGUCAAGUGGGAAGAACCCGAUUAUUGUUAAUACCAGUAAUCACUGACGGUACCACUGAAGGAAGCACCGGCUAACUCCGUGCCAGCAGCCGCGGUAAUACGGGGGGUGCAAGCGUUAUUCGGAAUUAUUGGGCGUAAAGAGCGCGUAGGCGGCCAGUUAAGUCAGAUGUGAAAGCCCGGGGCUCAACCCCGGAAGUGCAUUUGAAACUAAUUGGCUUGAGUAUGGGAGAGGGAAGUGGAAUUCCUGGUGUAGAGGUGAAAUUCGUAGAUAUCAGGAGGAACACCGGUGGCGAAGGCGACUUCCUGGACCAAUACUGACGCUGAGGCGCGAAGGCGUGGGGAGCAAACAGGAUUAGAUACCCUGGUAGUCCACGCAGUAAACGGUGAUCACUAGGUGUAGCGGGUAUUGACCCCUGCUGUGCCGGAGUUAACGCAUUAAGUGAUCCGCCUGGGGAGUACGGUCGCAAGAUUAAAACCCAAAGGAAUUGACGGGGGCCCGCACAAGCGGUGGAGCAUGUGGUUUAAUUCGACGCAACGCGAAGAACCUUACCUGGAUUUGACAUCUCGGGAAUCUUUUAGAAAUUUAAGAGUGCCCUUCGGGGAGCCCGAAGACAGGUGCUGCAUGGCUGUCGUCAGCUCGUGUCGUGAGAUGUUGGGUUAAGUCCCGCAACGAGCGCAACCCCUAUCUUCAGUUACCAUCAUUUAGUUGGGGACUCUGGAGAUACUGCCCCGGUUAACGGGGAGGAAGGUGGGGAUGACGUCAAGUCCUCAUGGCCUUUAUGUCCAGGGCUACACACGUGCUAC